CUACCUUGCCUUUGACGGGUAACGGGGGAUUGGGGUUCGAUUCCGGAGAGGGUGCCUUAAAGAUGGCGUCCAUUUCUACGGGAAGCAGCAGGCGCGCAAAUUGCCCAAUGCUAACACAAUAACUAGCGAGGCAGCAACGAAAAAUAGCAUUCCUACCAGGUUUCCUGUUAGGGCUUGCAAUGGACUGUAUCUAAUAGACACUGCUGAAAACCAAUGGAGGGCAAGCCUGGUGCCAGCAGCCGCGGUAAUUCCAGCUCCAUAAGCUUAUACGACUGCUAUUGCGUUUAAAAAGCCCGUAGUUGGAUUUGAGAGCUUUGCUUGUGGUACGAUCUAGUCCGCUUCUUCGGAAGUUUAUUAGGUACGACCACUUUCGGCAUAGUUCUGAGACAUGCGGGACCGUUCACCUCAACUCGGAGCCUUCAUACUCCGUAGGUGCGCCCGCAGUUGUCACUGUGAGUAAAUCAGAGUGCUCAAGGCAACCAACGCGUUUGGUUGAAUGUUAAAGCAUGGGAUGACAAGGGAUCGACCUUGGAGGCGUCUUUUUGUUAGUCUUUAUGCCUCUUGUGUAGCAAUACCCAAGGAGAAUUUUUGUAGUGUGUUCCUGGUUUGAGGAUCUAGGUCUUCUUUCCAGGACUACUACAGCCCGGGAUAAAUAGGAUCACGGGGGGCCCUCGCUACUGGCGGGUUAGUGGUGAAAUACUCAGACCCCGCCAAGAGCGACAUCAGCGAAAGCAGUGGGCUAUCGUGCUUUCAUUAAUCAAGGACGAGAGAUGCGGGAUCGAAGAGGAUUAGACACCCUCGUAGUCGCUUCUGUAAAUGCUGCAAGCUCGGGAUCGGCCAUGGUUCUUCUUUUUUGACCUGGUCGGCACCUUCUCUCUCUACCGGGAAACCAAAGCCUUUGUGUUUCGUGGGAAGUACAUUCGCAAGGCUGAAACUUAAAGGAAUUGACGGAGAACCACCACCAGUCGUGGAGUGUGUGGCUUAAUUCGACCCAACACGGGAAAUUUUACCAGGCCAGGACGCAGUAAGGAUUGCCGGAUUGAUAGCUCCUGCAUGAUUCUGUGAAGGGUAGUGCAUGGCCGCUUCUGGUUGGUGAAGUGAUUUGUCUGCUUAAUUGCGUUAACGAACGAGAUCUCUGCCAAUUAUUAGAUGGUUCCUCCGUUUUAGACUUGAGGCAACUUUUGGGGUAACUCAGAAGUUGUUCAAAACCUUCGUGGUCUCAGGUUGAGGAGCGAACAGAAAAGCCUUCGGGUGUUUACUUAUUGGGAUUAUGCAAGCUUCCAAUUGCAUUGAAACAAGAGCCCAAAGCAGGUCUGUGAUGCUCCUUAAAUGUUCUGGGCUGCACGCGCACUACACUGAUUCAGACAACGAGCUUCUGCUAGGAUAUACCUUGGCAGCCUGCCUCGAAGGGGGUGGGGAAUCUUUUGAGCCUGAGUCGUGGUGGGGAUUGAUGCUUGUAAUUAUUCUCCAUGAACGAGGAAUGUCUUGUAUCCGCGUCUCAUCAGGACGCAGAGAAUACGUCCCUGGUUCUUGUACACACCGCCCGUCGCUAUCUGUGAUGGAUUUCACGUAGAGCUCUCUGGAGGUGAAUAUUUUGGGUAACUGAGAUCAUUUGCCAAAAUUGAGCAAUACUUGUAAUCUAGAAGAGAUAGAAGUCGUAACAAGGUU
rnacentral:rRNA from 1 species